GGAGAGAUGGCCGAGUGGUUGAAGGCGGUGGACUCGAAAUCCACUUCAGGCGUUUCGUCUGACCGGGGUUCGAAUCCCCGUCUCUCCGCCA
rnacentral:tRNA from 1 species